GAUCAUCCUCUGAAGAAACAUGAAAUACUUGAUAUCUUUUAUAAUGGACUAACCGAUGCUUCCAGAGAUUUCCUGGAUAGUUGUGUUGGUUCUGUUUUCAGGGAAAAAACACCAGAUGAAGCUGAAAUUCUAUUGAAUAAUAUGUUGACCAAUGAAAAUAAUUGGACACUUCCUGAGCCAACUCCUGAGCCUAUUCCUAAACCAACUCCGAAGAAGAGGGGUGUUCUAUUUCUCAGUCCUGAAGAUAUGCAAGAGGCAAACAAAUCUAUGAAAGAAAAGGGUAUUAAAGCUGAAGAUGUUAAGAAUUUACCUCCUAUUGAAGAAAUAUAUGAUCUUAAUUCAUCACCAAUUGAAGAAACUCAUGGUCUUGAUAACCCGACACAGGUAGUAAAG
rnacentral:rRNA from 1 species